GGCACCCUCCACUCCCUUCACUUCCAGGGCCCCGUUCUCACCCUGACAAAUGGGGCAAUAGUAGGGAUGUUGUGAGAAUUUGAUGCGGAGCCCUCAGGACAGCUUCCGCGCUCCCUCGUAGGCGCUCAGGAAAGGCCUCGAUUUCCCCAGGUGGGGCUUGGACUUCGGCGUCCCGUCUGCCUCGACUAGCAGACCAGGCGCCGCCCGCCCCGCCCGCAGGAAAGGGGUGCGCGGGGCCAGCACACGCCGUUCCCGCUGCCCCACCGGCGCCCAUAUUGGUGAGCCCGUUAGAGCCCAGCCCGCAGGUUUCUGGAGCCGAGCGUUCCCACCUUCCCCGGAGCUGAGCUGCGGGGCUCGGAUGUCCGGCCAUUGCGCACCCGUGAGCCCAGGCCGCCCCGGCCCCUUGGUUUGCUUGCGGGCUGGGGCUCUAGCCCUGGAGCCCCCACGCAGCCCCGGAGAGUGCCUUCCCAGCGUCGGGGCAUCCUCCAGCUCCUAGGCUGCUGGAGAGCUUCGGAAUUCCUGGCACACACACACCGAGACUUCCCCCACCCCCUCCCACGGUACAGAUGGGGAAACUAAGGCCCAGAACGUAGCAGCGACUUGGCCAAGGUCACCCUGCGUGGGAGGACCAGAGCCCAGAUGUGCCAUCACCGCCUGGGCGGCGCCGGGAACAGCACAGAUCAGACCCAGAUGCCUACCCUCUCAGGCUCAUCUCCCCCUCUUCUCAGCCCCAGAGACUGUAAUAACUGCCUACCUGGGUAGGACUUAGGCAAAUGGGAACUGAGAUGGGACUGUACUUGUGUAUGCAAAUCUGACAUGUGUCCACAUGUGAAAAUUAGGCCUGAAGACCAGAAGCCUUUUCCUUGGCCCGGUGACCACUGUCAGCUCCUACCAUGGGCAGGGAUUCCUCUGCCUCAGUAAGACAGACGUAGCCAGGGCAGUGCAUCUGAUACCUCAAAUCCCCACCCACAUCCCCACCCUUCAGGCUCAGAACAGUGUCCACUAGAGUGGGCCUCCAAGACCUCUAGAUACCCCAGACCCCCAAUAACCAAUGAUUCAGAGAGCGGGAUGGUAGCUGUCUUAAAACCAUGGGCAAAGGAGAAGCUAGAUCAGCAGUGGGUCUCAGGUCUCCCUGAGUGUAUUCAAGGGGAAGGGAUUAUGGCUUGGCAGAAUCUACACCCCCCACACACACACCUGUGCCCUGCCAUCCAUAACCUUAAAAACCUUUUUCCAGCCUCAGGUGGGUGGAAGAACACAGACUUGUCCCUAUGGAGACAAGGCAGCACAGAGGGUGGUUGAAAGCAUGGGCCCAGACCUCCUGGGGUGCAAAUCUCAGCUACUCCACUGGCAGGUCUGAGACUUUGACAAGUCAGUUAAACUCCUUAUGCCUUAGUUUCCUCAUUUAUGAAACAGAAAUAAGAAAAGUACGGACUUCAUAGGGUUACUUAGAAGAUGAAAUGAAGUCCACCAUACAAAGGGUUUAACACAGUGCCUGGCAGCUAAACUGGGAGACAGAAGCUCCAGGUUCUUAUUCGAGCUUUGCCAGCAACUUACUGUGUGACCCUGGACAAGUCACUUGCCAUCUCUGGGCUUCAGAGUCUCCACAAGGUUAUCUAUAUCUUAUCUACAUCAGUUGGGUCCUGCCAGUUGUGAGAAGCUGAGACUUUGUGGAGAGCCCCACAGGACACUUUCUUUACCACAUAUAUUCAUCCAGGUUGGUAGCAGCUAAUGGCAGGAAACUUGAGCUGCAGGCUUCUGCCCACCUCAUCUCCCUGCACUCCUUGUUUCCCUAGCCUGCCAGCAACCCCAUUCUGCCCUGCUUAGCUGGUACUCGGGCCUUAGAGAAAUGGUACCUGUACCCAUCCAUCCCAAGUGGUGGGUGCCCAAGUCAGAAGAUGUCACAAGCCAUAUAUAGAACUGUCAGAGAGCACCCAAGAGAAGCAGUUAUUAUUGCGGAAGGACAGAUUUAAUUGUCUGAAGAUGCUUAUAAUCCUCUGGUGGUAAUGGGAGGAAGUUUUAAAAGGAAGCUCUAAUCCACUAAUAACCUGGCAGCUUCACAGGCCUCUUCCCUCCAGAUCUCCAGGCAGAGAGGAGAGACUCCGACCACUCCCUUUCCCAAGGGAACAGAAAGGCCAGUGUGGGCUCUGACCCAAGACCUCCUAGACUUCUACUCUGCAAGACCCAGCUUCCUUCCUGCCUCCGCCUCCGAGAAGUCUUCCCUGCCUAUUCCUUAAGCCUGAGGUCUCCUCUGCCCUAAAAGUGUCAGGACAGAACUGGAUGACCAUCUGGCUGGAUGUUAAUUAAAAAGAGGAAUGAGCCAGACUGUGAGGCAAGAAGAGCAUGAUCACAGUCUCAGCUCUAAUACUGACUGUGUGGCCUUGGGCAAGGUGCUUAGGUCUCUGUGCCUCAGUUACAUCACCUGUAAAGUGGGGAGAACAAAACCUGCCUUGAAAGGUUCCAGUAAGAUCCACGAGGAUGAGAUGCCAUGAAAUACCUGGCUCCGUGUGAAAAGACACUAGGACUCAUUAGAGGUGGUCCCUUCUUCUCCCCUCUCCACACGUGGUAUCUCCUACUCCAGAAUGUCAGCAUGUGACAUUUUGCCUUUUAUAAAGUAUACAGAAUACACUGGUGGCUAAGAGCAAAACUCCAUGUUAAAAAAACUGAUUGAAUCAUGGUGUAACAGCUUGCUAAUCAUGAUUCUUGGACCAGUCACUUAAUGUUCCUUGGGCCUCAAUCUGUAUAAUGGAGGUAAGAGCAAUAUAUCCCUCAGGGGGAUUUUUAUGAGAUUAAAUAAAAUGAUAUGUGUAAA